rnacentral:rRNA from 1 species
GACGAACGCUGGCGGCGUGCCUAAUACAUGCAAGUCGAGCGGACCACAAAGAAGCUUGCUUCUGAGUGGUUAGCGGCGGACGGGUGAGUAACACGUGGGCAACCUGCCCGUAAGACCGGGAUAACUUCGGGAAACCGGAGCUAAUACCGGAUAACACCGAAGAUCGCAUGAUCUUUGGUUGAAAGGCGGCUUUGGCUGUCACUUACGGAUGGGCCCGCGGCGCAUUAGCUAGUUGGUGAGGUAACGGCUCACCAAGGCGACGAUGCGUAGCCGACCUGAGAGGGUGAUCGGCCACACUGGGACUGAGACACGGCCCAGACUCCUACGGGAGGCAGCAGUAGGGAAUCUUCCGCAAUGGACGAAAGUCUGACGGAGCAACGCCGCGUGAGCGAAGAAGGUCUUCGGAUUGUAAAGCUCUGUUGUUAGGGAAGAACAAGUACCGUUCGAAGAGGGCGGUACCGUGACGGUACCUAACGAGAAAGCCACGGCUAACUACGUGCCAGCAGCCGCGGUAAU